AUGGAGAGAUUAUGCCUUGUACUAAGCUCUGAAGAUUUCAUUACGCGAAAAAAUUAUCAAGCAUUGGUGAUAAUUGCUUUAGCGCCGGUUAUUGCUCUCAGUUACUUCUUAGGUCCGACACCAAUCACCGUGAGAAUGUUGUUUUCAGGCCGCCUCCAGUAGAAUCCCUGCAAAAGAACAGGCAGGAUGUUGCACGAUACAAGAAUGUAAAUCAGCAACGCGUUUGUUCCCAUCCAUUUCAGUAUUGUGGUCCAGUGUCUAUAGCCCCACACAUCAACCAUCAUAUAGACUGCAGUGAAGAGAAAGCCAGCAGAGCCAGCAGUAAUACACAUAUAACUGAAGGAGUACAAAACCUUGUUUGCGUGCAUCCCCAGGCAGUCACAUGUUACACCCA
rnacentral:misc_RNA from 1 species